GUUUGUUUUUUUGAGCGUUCGGUGGAUGCCUUGGCAUCAGGGGCCGAUGAAGGACGUGGUGGCCUGCGAUAUUCCUCGGGGAGCCGGCUGGCGGGCUGUGAUCCGAGGGUUUCCGAAUGGGGGGACCCGGCACGAGUUAUGUCGUGUCACCUGCAUCUGAAUUGUAUAGGGUGUGGGGGGUGACGCGGGGAAGUGAAACAUCUCAGUACCCGUAGGAGAAGAUAUUCCGUGAGUAGUGGCGAGCGAAAGCGGAUGAUGGUUAAACCGUGUGCGUGUGAUACUCGGCAGGGGUUGCGUGUGCGGGGUUGUGGGGCUGUCCUGUUUUCUCUUCUGCCGGAGAGGGGGCGCGUGUGCUGGCCGGUAGCUGAAUCGUCUGGGAAGGCGUGGCGUAGUGGGUGAUACCCCCGUAGGCGGAACUGGUUGGUGCGUGUCUGGGACGGUGCCCGAGUAGCACGGGGCUCGUGGAAUCCUGUGUGAAUCUGCCAAGACCACUUGGCUGCCUGAAUACCUCCUGAUGACCGAUAGUGGAUAGUACCGUGAGGGAAUGGUGAAAAGUACCCCGGGAGGGGAGUGAAAUAGUACCUGAAACCGGGCGCUUACAAGCCGUCAGAGCCUUCAUGCGCCUUGUGUGUGUGGGGGUGGUGGCGUGCCUUUUGAAGAAUGAGCCUGCGAGUCAGUGGCGUGUCGCGAGGUUAACCCGUGUGGGGUAGCCGUAGCGAGAGCGAGUCCGAAUAGGGCGAUGUUGUAGUGGCGCGUUCUGGACCCGAAGCGGGGUGAUCUACCCAUGGCCAGGUUGAAGCACGUGUAAGAGCGUGUGGAGGACCGAACCCACCUAGGUUGAAAACUGGGGGGAUGAGCUGUGGGUAGGGGUGAAAGGCCAAUCAAACUCCGUGAUAGCUGGUUCUCCCCGAAAUGCAUUUAGGUGCAGCGUUGCGUGGUCCCUGGUGGAGGUAGAGCUACUGGAUGGCCGAUGGGCCCGAUGGGUUACUGACGUCAGCCAAACUCCGAAUGCCAUUAGGUGUAGCGUGGCAGUGAGACUGCGGGGGAUAAGCUUCGUAGUCGAGAGGGAAACAGCCCAGAUCAUCAGCUAAGGCCCCUAAGCGUACGCUAAGUGGGAAAGGAUGUGGAGUCGCGGUGACAACCAGGAGGUUGGCUUAGAAGCAGCCAUCCUUGAAAGAGUGCGUAAUAGCUCACUGGUCAAGUGAUCGUGCGCCGACAAUGUAGCGGGGCUCAAGCACACCGCCGAAGCCGCGGACCCACAGCAGUGUUCCCUUCACUGUCCGGCUUGCCCGGGUGGUGGCAGGGGUUGUGGGUGGUAGGGGAGCGUCCUGCACCGGGGGAAGCCUGUGGGUGACUGCUGGUGGACGGUGCGGGAGUGAGAAUGCAGGCAUGAGUAGCGAUACUAGGGUGAGAAGCCCUAGCGCCGAAUGACCAAGGGUUCCAGGGCCAGGCUAGUCCGCCCUGGGUGAGUCGGGACCUAAGGCGAGGCCGACAGGCGUAGUCGAUGGAUGACGGGUUGAUAUUCCCGUACCGGCGAAGCACCGCCCAUGCUGACGCGCGGGUGCUAACCCACGCCCAACCACCAUGUAAGCCGCAUGUGUCAGGUUCGCCUGACGGUGUGGUUGUGGUGGUGGGGUCUGGGGAUCCUCCGUGCAGGUAGGCAAGCGUGUUAACAGGGGUGACGCACAGUGGUAGCCCGGCGGACCUGAUGGCUUGGUCCGUUCAAGCGCGCAGCCCGUCUCCCAGGUAAAUCCGGGGGACUGUCUUUGAUGACGGGGGUGAGGCGUGAUGGUGACCUCACUUUGGUGGGGGAUAACAGGGUGAUCCUGGGGUGCCGAGAAAAGCCUCGACGCGAUGGUGCCAGCCGCCCGUACCCUAAACCGACACAGGUGGUCGGGCAGAGUAUGCCUAGGCGCACGAGUGAAUCAUGGUUAAGGAACUCGGCAAAAUGCCCCCGUAACUUCGGGAGAAGGGGGGCCUGAUCCCUGAAGCCCCGUUUGCGGGCUAGGGGGGAGGGUCGCAGAGGCCAGGGGGAAGCGACUGUUUACUAAAAACACAGGUCCGUGCGAAGCCGUAAGGCGAUGUAUACGGACUGACGCCUGCCCGGUGCUGGAAGGUUAAGAGGAACCAUCAACCCUCGGGUGAAGUGGUGAAUUUAAGCCCCAGUAAACGGCGGUGGUAACUAUAACCAUCCUAAGGUAGCGAAAUUCCUUGUCGGGUAAGUUCCGACCUGCACGAAUGGCGUAACGACUUCCCCGCUGUCUCAACCAUGAGCUCGGCGAAAUUGCAGUACGAGUAAAGAUGCUCGUUUCGCGCAGAAGGACGGAAAGACCCCGGGACCUUUACUAUAGCUUGGUAUUGG
rnacentral:rRNA from 1 species